rnacentral:rRNA from 1 species
CAGUCGCCACGGUAAUACGUAGGGUGCAAGCGUUAAUCGGAAUUACUGGGCGUAAAGCGUGCGCAGGCGGUUAUAUAAGACAGAUGUGAAAUCCCCGGGCUCAACCUGGGAACUGCAUUUGUGACUGUAUAGCUAGAGUACGGCAGAGGGGGAUGGAAUUCCGCGUGUAGCAGUGAAAUGCGUAGAUAUGCGGAGGAACACCGAUGGCGAAGGCAAUCCCCUGGGCCUGUACUGACGCUCAUGCACGAAAGCGUGGGGAGCAAACAGGAUUAGAUACCCCUGUAGUCCCUGUCUCUUAUAC